rnacentral:rRNA from 1 species
ACGAACGCUGGCGGCAUGCCUCAUACAUGCAAGUUGAACGCCCCGCAAGGGGAGUAGCGGAAGGGUGAGUAACGCGUAGGAAUCUGCCUUGGAGUGGGGGAUAACCUGGGGAAACUCGGGCUAAUACCGCAUAUUGCCGGAAGGUGAACGAUUUAUUGCUCCAAGAUGAGCCUGCGUAUGAUUAGCUAGUUGGUAGGGUAAUGGCCUACCAAGGCAACGAUCAUUAGCUGGUCUGAGAAGAUGAUCAGCCACAAUGGAACUGAGAUACGGUCCAUACUGCUACGGAAGGCAGCAGUAGGGAAUGGUGCGCAAGGGGCGAAAGCCUGACGCAGCAAUGCCGCGUGUAGGAAGAAGCAUCUUGGUGGGUAAACUACUGUCGGCGGGGAAAAACAAAAUGAUUGUACCCGCAGAGGAAGCAUCGGCUAACUACGU